AUGUGUGUGUCUGUUUGUAACAUGUGUGUGUGUGUAACACGCAAGUGUGUGUGUGUGUGUGUGUGUGUGUGUAACAGUAUCUGCGUGUGUGUGCAACACGCGUGUCCUAGGUCCACGUGUGUGUGUCUGUCUAUGUGUGUGUGUAUUUGUGAAACGUGUGUGCGUAACCAGGCUGUCGUCAUCAUACCUCCACUGUCUGCAUGUGUUGCUUUGCAUGUUUCUGUAGGUCUUUGUUCCCUACUGCCUGUGUUCACUACAGCCUGUGUUCCCUACUGCCUGUGUUCACUACAGCCUGUGUUCACUACAGCCUGUGUUCACUACUGCCUGUGUUCACUACAGCCUGUGUUCACUACAGCCUGUGUUCGCUACAGCCUGUGUUCACUACAGCCUGUGUUCACUACUGCCUGUGUUCACUACAGCCUGUGUUCACUACAGCCUGUGUUCACUACAGCCUGUGUUCACUACAGCCUGUGUUCACUACAGCCUGUGUUCACUACAGCCUGUGUUCACUACUGCCUGUGUUCACUACUGCCUGUGUUCACUACAGCCUGUGUUCACUACAGCCUGUGUUCACUACAGCCUGUGUUCACUAGUGUCUGUGUUCACUACAGCCUGUGUUCACUACAGCCUGUGUUCACUACAGCCUGUGUUCACUACAGUCUGUGUUCACUACAGCCUGUGUUCACAACAGCCUGUGUUCACUACAGCCUGUGUUCACUACUGCCUGUGUUCACAACAGCCUGUGUUCACUACAGCCUGUGUUCACUACAGUCUGUGUUCACUACAGCCUGUGUUCACUACAGCCUGUGUUCACUACUGCCUGUGUUCACUACAGCCUGUGUUCACUACAGCCUGUGUUCACUAGUGUCUGUGUUCACUACAGCCUGUGUUCACUACAGCCUGUGUUCACUACAGCCUGUGUUCACUACAGUCUGUGUUCACUACAGCCUGUGUUCACUACUGCCUGUGUUCACUACAGCCUGUGUUCAUUACAGCCUGUGUUCACUAGUGUCUGUGUUCACUACAGCCUGUGUUCACUAG
rnacentral:lncRNA from 1 species